UAUAAUGAGGUCUCCUGUGUAGAUCUUUAAGGUGGCGCGGGAGAAUAUAAUGAGGUCUCCUGUGUAGAUCUUUAAGGUGGCGCGGGAGAAUAUAAUGAGGUCUCCUGUGUAGAUCUUUAAGGUGGCGCGGGAGAAUAUAAUGAGGUCUCCUGUGUAGAUCUUUAAGGUGGCGCGGGAGAAUAUAAUGAGGUCUCCUGUGUAGAUCUUUAAGGUGGCGCGGGAGAAUAUAAUGAGGUCUCCUGUGUAGAUCUUUAAGGUGGCGCGGGAGAAUAUAAUGAGGUCUCCUGUGUAGAUCUUUAAGGUGGCGCGGGAGAAUAUAAUGAGGUCUCCUGUGUAGAUCUUUAAGGUGGCGCGGGAGAAUAUAAUGAGGUCUCCUGUGUAGAUCUUUAAGGUGGCGCGGGAGAAUAUAAUGAUGUCUCC